UGCCAGCCGCCGGGGUAAUACGGAGGGUGCAAGCGUUGUUCGGAAUUAUUGGGCGUAAAGCGCGUGUAGGCGGUUCGUUAAGUCUGAUGUGAAAGCCCGGGGCUCAACCCCGGAAGUGCAUUGGAAACUGGCGAACUUGAGUACUGGAGGGGGUGGUGGAAUUCCCGGUGUAGAGGUGAAAUUCGUAGAUAUCGGGAGGAAUACCGGUGGCGAGGGCGACCACCUGGCCAGAUACUGACGCUGAGGUGCGAAAGCGUGGGGAGCAAACAGGAUUAGAUA
rnacentral:rRNA from 1 species